ACAGGCGUGGUGGAAUUGGUAGACGCGCGGGAUUUAGGUUCCCGUAUUAUUUUGAUGUGAGAGUUCGAGUCUCUCCGCCUGUA
rnacentral:tRNA from 1 species